rnacentral:tRNA from 1 species
GAAGCGGUAGCUCAGUGGUAGAGCAGGAACCUUGGGGGUUUGAGUUGUGCCAUUACCUUAGGGGUCAAGUACAACUUACUUCUUUUCCGGGUCGCAGGUUCGAAUCCUGCCCGCUUCC